CGCUGUGCCUGACGGUGACAAUCCCGAGCGAGAGGCCAGCUUUCCCGGCGCCAGCCACCCGGGUGGGGACUGCUGCCUGAGGCGAUGUCGCUGCCAGCCCGCGGAGCUUACCUGAGGUGGUGGUGUCUGGUCUAUGCGUGUGGGAGUUUGGUGUCCACAGAGGCCAGAGGAGGGUGGCAGAUCCCUGGGACUGGAGAACAAGCUAAAGAAGACACGUCUGCAAAGGAGGGAGCGCAGCAGAACUUGGAAGAAGCCAAGACAGUGUAGUAUCGUGAAUACCAAAGGAAAAGAAGGAACAAGUAAUUGACAAAGUCAAAUAUGGCUGACAGAUCAGAGACACUAUGUAGGCCUGACUGGCUUGGAAUUCACAGUAUGCAGCCCCAGAUGACUUCAGAGAGGAGACGAUUUCUGCAUUUUGAGUGCUGAGGUUGUAGGUCUGUCUGUGAAUUACAAAGGCAUGAAAAUCUCUGGAGAUUUAAAACUUUCCCAGAAGACAGCACAUCAACCACUGGGGUAAUGGGAUUUACAUCACAGCCACAACCAAAGACCGCCUCAGGCCUCUCAUCGUGGCUGCUCUCAGAAAGGCAAUUGCUACAAGGCUUCACUGGAAAGCCUGAAGAUGACAGAGCCGUUCCAAAAGGCCAACCCAUCUCCCUCCUCUGUACUUCUAAAGCCCGAGUGGAUGCCUACUAAAGG
rnacentral:lncRNA from 1 species